UACGUAGGGGGCAAGCGUUGUCCGGAAUCAUUGGGCGUAAAGAGCGUGUAGGCGGCCCGGUAAGUCCGCUGUGAAAGUCGGGGGCUCAACCCUCGAAUGCCGGUGGAUACUGUCGGGCUAGAGUGCGGAAGAGGCGAGUGGAAUUCCUGGUGUAGCGGUGAAAUGCGCAGAUAUCAGGAGGAACACCGAUGGCGAAGGCAGGUCUCUGGGCCACUACUGACGCUGAGAAGCGAAAGCAUGGGGAGCGAACAGG
rnacentral:rRNA from 1 species